rnacentral:sRNA from 1 species
GCUGGGCACGGUGGCCCAUGCCUGUAAUCCCAGCAGCUCGGGAGGAUGAGGCAGGAGGAUCUCAAGUUCAAAUCCAGCAUCAGCAAAAGUGAGGUGCUAAGCAACUCAGUGAGACCUUGUCUCUA